GAUGAAGAACGCAGCGAAACGCGAUAAGUAAUGUGAAUUGCAGAAUUCAGUGAAUCAUCGAAUCUUUGAACGCACAUUGCGCCCGCCAGCAUUCUGGCGGGCAUGCCUGUUCGAGCGUCAUUUCAACCCUCAAGCUCUGCUUGGUGUUGGGGCCCUACGGUUGACGUAGGCCCUUAAAGGUAGUGGCGGACCCUCUCGGAGCCUCCUUUGCGUAGUAACUAACGUCUCGCAUUGGGAUUCGGAGGGACUCUUGCCGUAAAACCCCCAAAUUUUCUAAUGGUUGACCUCGGAUCAGGUAGGAAUACCCGCUGAACUUAAGCAUAUCAAUAAGCGGAGGA
rnacentral:misc_RNA from 1 species